AACCUUACCCAGACUUGACAUGCGAGUGGUAGGAACCUGAAAGGGAACCGACCCGCAAGGGAGCUCGUACAGGUGUUGCACGGCUGUCGUCAGCUCGUGUCGUGAGAUGUUGGGUUAAGUCCCGCAACGAGCGCAACCCUCGGGGUCUGUUGUACCUCUCAGACCCGACUGCCGAGAGAAACUCGGAGGAAGGUGGGGAUGACGUCAAGUCAGCGUGGCCUUUAUGUCUGGGGCAACACGCACGCUACAAUCGCCGGUCACAGCGGGUCGCGACAACGCAAGUUGAAGCUAAUCCCUUAAAACCGGCGUCAGUUCAGAUCGGAGGCUGCAACUCGCCUCCGUGAAGUCGGAGUUGCUAGUAACCGCAGGUCAGCACACUGCGGUGAAUAUGUUCCC
rnacentral:rRNA from 1 species